AUACUUACCUUAAGAUGUCAGAGGAGAUCAAGAAGUCCUUCUGGCCAAAUAUGUCUUUCUAAAGCGAUGCUUGUCUUUUACAGGAGACAGGUUUGCUUGCUGAGUCUCAUUUGCAGACUGCACAUACUUGCGAAAGGUGUAUUUGCUGACGUUUCGUUUUCUCGUUCCGGUAGCGUGCCAUGGUUUUCCGUAUGGAGGAUUGUGACGUGGUACUUGGGGCCCUUUGUUUCUUCUGCCUGGAGAAGUAUGGUGCUGAUUACAAGUCAGCGCUGGGAAAGUCGGGCGUGGAUUUUGUUCGCUUUAAGUAUAGAGGUUUCAGCUCGAUGUGACAACAGUCGAUUCCUGUGUAUAGGCAUAAGUUUUGUCGUUGUUUGUGGAUCUUGUCUUCGGAUGGAACCGCGGAUGGCAGCAGAACGUGCCGCUGUUGCAUGGAGAAGGUGGCUGUUGCGAAGCCUCUGUAUAGGACAAGAAUCAUGCUUGGUAGAAACGGGUAGGUCUUAUAAUUUUUGAUGUCAAUCUU